rnacentral:rRNA from 1 species
GACGAACGCUGGCGGCGUGCUUAACACAUGCAAGUCGAACGGAAAGGCCCUGCUUUUGUGGGGUGCUCGAGUGGCGAACGGGUGAGUAACACGUGAGUAACCUGCCCUUGACUUUGGGAUAACUUCAGGAAACUGGGGCUAAUACCGGAUAGGAGCUCCUGCUGCAUGGUGGGGGUUGGAAAGUUUCGGCGGUUGGGGAUGGACUCGCGGCUUAUCAGCUUGUUGGUGGGGUAGUGGCUUACCAAGGCUUUGACGGGUAGCCGGCCUGAGAGGGUGACCGGCCACAUUGGGACUGAGAUACGGCCCAGACUCCUACGGGAGGCAGCAGUGGGGAAUAUUGCACAAUGGGCGGAAGCCUGAUGCAGCAACGCCGCGUGCGGGAUGACGGCCUUCGGGUUGUAAACCGCUUUCGCCUGUGACGAAGCGUGAGUGACGGUAAUGGGUAAAGAAGCACCGGCUAACUACGUGCCAGCAGCCGCGGUGAUACGUAGGGUGCGAGCGUUGUCCGGAUUUAUUGGGCGUAAAGGGCUCGUAGGUGGUUGAUCGCGUCGGAAGUGUAAUCUUGGGGCUUAACCCUGAGCGUGCUUUCGAUACGGGUUGACUUGAGGAAGGUAGGGGAGAAUGGAAUUCCUGGUGGAGCGGUGGAAUGCGCAGAUAUCAGGAGGAACACCAGUGGCGAAGGCGGUUCUCUGGGCCUUUCCUGACGCUGAGGAGCGAAAGCGUGGGGAGCGAACAGGCUUAGAUACCCUGGUAGUCCACGCUGUAAACGGUGGGUACUAGGUGUGGGGUCCAUUCCACGGGUUCCGUGCCGUAGCUAACGCUUUAAGUACCCCGCCUGGGGAGUACGGCCGCAAGGCUAAAACUCAAAGGAAUUGACGGGGCCCCGCACAAGCGGCGGAGCAUGCGGAUUAAUUCGAUGCAACGCGUAGAGCCUUACCUGGGUUUGACAUGGAUCGGGAGCGCUCAGAGAUGGGUGUGCCUCUUUUGGGGUCGGUUCACAGGUGGUGCAUGGCUGUCGUCAGCUCGUGUCGUGAGAUGUUGGGUUAAGUCCCGCAACGAGCGCAACCCUUGUACACUGUUGCCAGCACGUUAUGGUGGGGACUCAGUGGAGACCGCCGGGGUCAACUCGGAGGAAGGUGGGGAUGACGUCAAGUCAUCAUGCCCCUUAUGUCCAGGGCUUCACGCAUGCUACAAUGGCUGGUACAGAGAGUGGCGAGCCUGUGAGGGUGAGCGAAUCUCGGAAAGCCGGUCUCAGUUCGGAUUGGGGUCUGCAACUCGACCUCAUGAAGUCGGAGUCGCUAGUAAUCGCAGAUCAGCAACGCUGCGGUGAAUACGUUCCCGGGGCU